AGCUGCAGCCGCGGCCAAUAGGCGAGAGACUUCUUGUUUCCUGGCAGAGCGGGGUCCCGGCACCACGGCACUCGGGUUUUGUUUGGGUCCUGGGUGGAGGACCCGGGUGCCGGGGCCCGAGGUGCCGCCUCGCUAGCGGGAGAGGGAGCGGGAGCACCGGCCCGGAGAGAGCUCUCAGGGCCAGAGUGGGGCAAGAGGAUGCUUUCCCAGCCCCACCAUGGAGCUGCGCUGUGGGGGAUUGCUGUUCAGUUCUCGCUUUGAUUCAGGGAACCUAGCCCAUGUGGAAAAGGUGGAAUCUGUGUCUAGUGAUGCAGAAGGAGUAGGAGUAGGAGGAGGGGCAUCGGCCCCCACUGUUAGCAUUGCUUCUUCCCCUGACUACGAGUUCAACGUGUGGACCCGACCAGACUGUGCUGAAACCGAAUUUGAGAACGGGAACAGGUCAUGGUUUUACUUCAGUGUCCGGGGAGGAACUCCAGGGAAACUCAUCAAGAUCAACAUUAUGAACAUGAACAAGCAAAGCAAACUUUAUUCCCAGGGUAUGGCCCCCUUUGUGCGCACACUGCCCUACCGGCCACGCUGGGAACGCAUUCGAGAACGGCCCACCUUUGAAAUGACAGAGACGCAGUUUGUGUUAUCCUUUGUUCACCGUUUUGUGGAGGGCCGUGGGGCCACCACCUUCUUCGCCUUCUGCUACCCCUUCUCCUACAGUGACUGCCAGGAUUUGCUAAACCAACUAGACCAGCGCUUUCUGGAGAACCACCCUACCCAUAACAGCCCCCUGGAUACCAUCUAUUACCACCGGGAGCUCCUUUGCUAUUCUCUGGAUGGACUUCGUGUAGAUCUAUUAACAAUCACUUCCUGCCAUGGGCUUCGAGAAGAUCGAGAGCCCCGCCUAGAGCAGCUGUUUCCUGAUACCAGCACCCCCCGACCAUUCCGUUUUACAGGCAAGAGGAUCUUCUUCUUAAGCAGCAGAGUACACCCUGGGGAGACUCCAUCUAGCUUUGUCUUCAAUGGCUUUCUGGACUUCAUCCUUCGACCCGAUGACCCCCGGGCCCAAACCCUACGCCGCCUUUUUGUAUUUAAGCUGAUUCCCAUGUUGAAUCCUGAUGGUGUGGUCCGGGGCCACUACCGCACUGAUUCACGGGGAGUGAAUCUGAACCGUCAGUACCUGAAGCCUGAUGCUGUCCUGCACCCGGCCAUCUUUGGGGCUAAAGCUGUGCUUCUUUACCACCAUGUGCACUCUCGUCUGAACUCCCAGAGUCCCUCUGAACACGAGCCCAGUCCCCGCCUCCCUUGUGAUGCUCCUCUUUCUGAUCUUGAGAAAGCCAACAAUCUCCACAAUGAAAGUCGCCUUGGACAGUUAUCUGACAGUGAUAACCCUGAGACCUGGACCCAGGCAGAGCCAGUGGAACAGAAGGCGAACAGUGAGUGGAUUAUGCCAGAACAGUCUACUGAACUUGAGGCACCAGCCCCUGACACAAUUCCCCCCAAAGAGAGUGGUGUUGCUUACUAUGUGGACCUGCACGGACAUGCUUCCAAAAGGGGCUGCUUCAUGUACGGAAACAGCUUUAGUGAUGAGAGCACCCAGGUGGAAAACAUGCUAUAUCCAAAGCUCAUCUCCUUGAAUUCAGCCCACUUUGACUUCCAGGGCUGCAAUUUCUCAGAGAAAAAUAUGUAUGCUCGAGACCGUAGAGAUGGCCAAUCCAAAGAGGGAAGCGGUCGUGUUGCAAUCUACAAAGCCUCAGGGAUAAUCCACAGCUACACACUUGAAUGCAACUACAACACUGGACGCUCAGUAAACAGCAUCCCUGCUGCCUGCCACGACAAUGGGCGUGCCAGCCCUCCUCCCCCGCCAGCUUUCCCUUCCAGAUACACUGUGGAACUAUUUGAGCAGGUGGGACGAGCUAUGGCCAUUGCAGCUCUGGAYAUGGCAGAAUGUAAUCCAUGGCCACGAAUUGUGCUGUCAGAGCACAGCAGCCUCACUAAUCUACGGGCCUGGAUGCUAAAGCAUGUACGAAACACCCGAGGCCUCAGCAGCACUGUGAACAUGGGCAUCAGCAAGAAGAGAGGCUCUCGAACUCCACCCAAAAGUAACAAUGUAUUGCCCAUUUCCUGCUCUGAAAACACCUUGAGCCGGGCACGAAGUUUUAGCACUGGCACAAGUGCUGGUGGUAGCAGCAGCAGCCAACAGAAUUCUCCACAGAUGAAGAACUCCCCCAGCUUUCCUUUUCAUGGCAGUCGGCCUGCAGGGCUUCCAGGCCUGGGCUCUAGCACCCAAAAGGUCAAUCACCGGGUGCUGGGUCCUGUCAGAGAGCCCCGAAGCCAGGACAGGAGACGGAGGCAACAGCCACUGAACCAUCGACCUCCUGCAAGCAGCCUGGCCCCAUCCCCAACUCCUGCUAAUACCAGCCCAGCCUCCUCACGCAACCUGGGCUCCUGCCUCCUGCCCAAUUCACUCAGUCUAUCAGGGAGUAGCUGCUCACUCUUAUCUUCAGGGGACAAGCCAGAGGCUGUCAUGGUGAUUGGGAAAGGUCUGCUAGGGGCUGGCGCUCGGAUCCCCUGCAUCAGGACUCGAUUGCAGACCUGCCAGAGGAGAGUUUCCGCCAGGAGGGGUCCCGGAUUCCCCAGGCUAGGCCCAGGUUGGGCCGGGGCUCACCGCCGACUUGCAGAGGGGUAAGAGGCUCUUCAGGCCCCACAUCCCCUAUCUCCAGGACCAGAGAAAGCAGUGAGCCAGAGCCGGGACCCGGUCCUGCUAUACCAGGGAUGCCUCAGGCCGGCCCCCCACGGCCCCGCUCUGCCCCUGCCUUUUCUCCUAUUUCCUGUUCUCUAUCUGAUGUCCCAUCCCGGAUUUGUUACAGCAGGGGGCCCUUGGGCCAGCCUGAGGUUUGUUUUGUCCCUAAAUCUCCCCCACUCACCGUUUCUCCCCGGGUUUGAUAAUGCCUUUACUUCCAUGCCCAGGAUAGGGUCCCAAAGUGGGGGAACACAGUGAGAAAUAUGAUAGUCCCCUCCUUGGGCUGCAGAUUCCAUGUUACAACAUAACUCUUUGGAAUGCCAGCCACUAUCUGAGGCCUUGCAGAGCAUUACCUUGAGAUGGGACAAAACAGGGACCUGUACCCCUUCCCUCCCUCCACAGCACAAGAUUUUGGGACCACAAAAAAUAUAUAUCUAUAUUUUUGUAUUGGGGGGAGGGGAGGGAGUAGAAAAGCAGCCCCUAUACUGGGCCCUAUUCAGUGGCAGCUUCUUGUUCCAUAKGGUUAAGGAAGACUUUGAGGAAAUAAAAGUUGUUUGGAAAAAUCCA